rnacentral:rRNA from 1 species
GACGUAGGGAGCGAGCGUUGUCCGGAUUCAUUGGGCGUAAAGAGCGCGCAGGCGGUUUGGUAAGUCGGAUGUGAAAACCCGGGGCUCAACCCCGGGCGUGCAUCUCGAUACUGCCCGACUAGAGGUAGGUAGGGGAGAUCGGAAUUCCUGGUGUAGCGGUGAAAUGCGUAGAGAUCAGGAAGAACAUCGGUGGCGAAGGCGCUCUGCUGGACCAUAACUGACACUCAGGGACGAAAGCUAGGGGAGCGAAUGGG